rnacentral:rRNA from 1 species
UGGCGGUGCUUUAGACUCUUCAGGGGAACCUGUCUCAUAAUCGAUAGUCCACGAUACACCUAACCUUUUUUAGAURUCAGUAUGUAUACCGUCGUCGUCAGGUAACUUUUAAAAAUAAAGAAGUUAGCAAUAAAAAUUAUAAUGAUUUUUUACGUCAGAUCAAGGUGCAGCUUAUGAAAAGGUGAGGAUGGGUUACAAUUAUAAGUUAUAAUAACGGAAGGAAGCUUGAUAAAGCUUUCAAUGAAGGAGGACUUGAAAGUAAAAUUAUUAUAUAUAAAUUUUUUGAAUUUAGCUCUGAAGCGU